rnacentral:rRNA from 1 species
ACUGCUCAGUAACACGUGGAUAACCUGCCCUUUGGGUCCGGCAUAACUCCGGGAAACUGGAGAUAAUUCCGGAUAACGCAUAUAUGCUGGAAUGCUUUAUGCGUAAAAUGGAUUCGUCUGCCCAAGGAUGGGUCUGCGGCCUAUCAGGUAGUAGUGGGUGUAAUGUACCUACUAGCCUACGACGGGUACGGGUUGUGAGAGCAAGAGCCCGGAGAUGGAUUCUGAGACAUGAAUCCAGGCCCUACGGGGCGCAGCAGGCGCGAAAACUUUACAAUGCGGGAAACCGUGAUAAGGGGACACCGAGUGCCAGCAUCAUAUGCUGGCUGUCCAGGUGUGUAAAAUACACCUGUUAGCAAGGGCCGGGCAAGACCGGUGCCAGCCGCCGCGGUAAUACCGGCGGCUCGAGUGGUGGCCGAUAUUAUUGAGUCUAAAGGGUCCGUAGCCGGCUUUGCAAGUCUUUUGGGAAAUCCAGCGGCUUAACCGUUGGUCGUCCGGGAGAUACUACAUUGCUUGGGACUGGGAGAGGUAAGAGGUACUCAGGGGGUAGGAGUGAAAUCCUGUAAUCCUUUGGGGACCACCGGUGGCGAAGGCGUCUUACCAGAACAGGUCCGACGGUGAGGGACGAAAGCUAGGGGCACGAGCCGGAUUAGAUACCCGGGUAGUCCUAGCCGUAAACGAUGCUCGCUAGGUGUCACAACAAUCGUGAAUUGUUGUGGUGCCGUAGGGAAGCCGUGAAGCGAGCCACUUGGGAAGUACGACCGCAAGGUUGAAACUUAAAGGAAUUGGCGGGGGAGCAC